rnacentral:rRNA from 1 species
GUGAGUGAUUCUUGYUAGGGGAAGAUGCAUAGUAAAGGAUGGUCCACCUAUUAAUUUACUCUUUUUAUGUUGGUGUAUGUCUGGUUUGAUAUUAUUGUUUAGUAAUGUAAGUUUGUGUAGUUUUAGUAAGCUAAGUCUAUGUGCUGCUAUAAGAGUUUUKAUCCC